UACGUAGGGCGCAAGCGUUAUCCGGAAUUAUUGGGCGUAAAGAGCUCGUAGGCGGUUUGUCGCGUCUGCCGUGAAAGUCCGGGGCUCAACUCCGGAUCUGCGGUGGGUACGGGCAGACUAGAGUGAUGUAGGGGAGACUGAAUUCCAGGUGUAGCGGUGAAAUGCGUAGAUAUCUGGAGGAACACCGGUGGCGAAGGCGGCAUCCUGGACCGACAUUGACGCUGAGGAGCGAAAGCGUGG
rnacentral:rRNA from 1 species